rnacentral:rRNA from 1 species
UAAAGGGUGCGUAGGCGGCCUGUUAAGUCAGGGGUGAAAGACGGUAGCUCAACAUCGCAGUGCCCUUGAUACUGAUGGGCUUGAAUUGACUAGAGGUAGGCGGAAUGUGACAAGUAGCGGUGAAAUGCAUAGAUAUGUCACAGAACACCGAUUGCGAAGGCAGCUUACUAUGGUCUUAUUGACGCUGAGGCACGAAAGCGUGGGGAUCAAACAGGAUUAGAUACCCGAGU